rnacentral:rRNA from 1 species
AGUGAACGCUGGCGGUAGGCCUAACACAUGCAAGUCGAACGGCAGCACAGUAAGAGCUUGCUCUUACGGGUGGCGAGUGGCGGACGGGUGAGGAAUACAUCGGAAUCUACUUUUUCGUGGGGGAUAACGUAGGGAAACUUACGCUAAUACCGCAUACGACCUACGGGUGAAAGCAGGGGAUCUUCGGACCUUGCGCGAUUGAAUGAGCCGAUGUCGGAUUAGCUAGUUGGCGAGGUAAAGGCCCACCAAGGCGACGAUCCGUAGCUGGUCUGAGAGGAUGAUCAGCCACACUGGAACUGAGACACGGUCCAGACUCCUACGGGAGGCAGCAGUGGGGAAUAUUGGACAAUGGGCGCAAGCCUGAUCCAGCAAUACCGCGUGGGUGAAGAAGGCCUUCGGGUUGUAAAGCCCUUUUGUUGGGAAAGAAAAGCAGCAGGUUAAUACCCCGCUGUUCUGACGGUACCCAAAGAAUAAGCACCGGCUAACUUCGUG